rnacentral:rRNA from 1 species
UGCAGUCGAGCGGAGAUGAGGUGCUUGCACCUUAUCUUAGCGGCGGACGGGUGAGUAAUGCUUAGGAAUCUGCCUAUUAGUGGGGGACAACAUUCCGAAAGGAAUGCUAAUACCGCAUACGCCCUACGGGGGAAAGCAGGGGAUCUUCGGACCUUGCGCUAAUAGAUGAGCCUAAGUCGGAUUAGCUAGUUGGUGGGGUAAAGGCCUACCAAGGCGACGAUCUGUAGCGGGUCUGAGAGGAUGAUCCGCCACACUGGGACUGAGACACGGCCCAGACUCCUACGGGAGGCAGCAGUGGGGAAUAUUGGACAAUGGGCGGAAGCCUGAUCCAGCCAUGCCGCGUGUGUGAAGAAGGCCUUUUGGUUGUAAAGCACUUUAAGCGAGGAGGAGGCUACUUAGAUUAAUACUCUAGGAUAGUGGACGUUACUCGCAGAAUAAGCACCGGCUAACUCUGUGCCAGCAGCCGCGGUAAUACAGAGGGUGCGAGCGUUAAUCGGAUUUACUGGGCGUAAAGCGUGCGUAGGCGGCUGAUUAAGUCGGAUGUGAAAUCCCUGAGCUUAACUUAGGAAUUGCAUUCGAUACUGGUCAGCUAGAGUAUGGGAGAGGAUGGUAGAAUUCCAGGUGUAGCGGUGAAAUGCGUAGAGAUCUGGAGGAAUACCGAUGGCGAAGGCAGCCAUCUGGCCUAAUACUGACGCUGAGGUACGAAAGCAUGGGGAGCAAACAGGAUUAGAUACCCUGGUAGUCCAUGCCGUAAACGAUGUCUACUAGCCGUUGGGGCCUUUG